rnacentral:rRNA from 1 species
CCUACGGGUGGCAGCAGUGGGGAAUAUUGCACAAUGGGGGAAACCCUGAUGCAGCAACGCCGCGUGAGUGAUGACGGCCUUCGGGUUGUAAAGCUCUGUCUUCAGGGACGAAAAUGACGGUACCUGAGGAGGAAGCCACGGCUAACUACGUGCCAGCAGCCGCGGCAAUACGUAGGGGGCGAGCGUUGUCCGGAUUUACUGGGCGUAAAGGGUGGGUAGGCGGACUUUUAAGUGAGGUGUGAAAUACUCGGGCUCAACUUGCGUGCUGCAGUUGAAACUGGAAGUCUAGAGUGGAGGAGAGGAGAAUGGAAUGCCUGGUGUAGCGGUGAAAUGCGUAGAGAUCAGGAAGAACUCCGGUUGCGAAGGCGAUUCUCUGGACUGAGACUGACGCUGAGGCUCGAAAGCGUGGGGAGCGAACAGGAUUAGAUACCCCUGUAGUC